CAGCCGCCGCGGGAAAACGUAGGGUGCAAGCGUUAAUCGGAAUUACUGGGCGUAAAGCGUGCGCAGGCGGUUAUAUAAGACAGAUGUGAAAUCCCCGGGCUCAACCUGGGAACUGCAUUUGUGACUGUAUAGCUAGAGUACGGCAGAGGGGGAUGGAAUUCCGCGUGUAGCAGUGAAAUGCGUAGAUAUGCGGAGGAACACCGAUGGCGAAGGCAAUCCCCUGGGCCUGUACUGACGCUCAUGCACGAAAGCGUGGGGAGCAAACAGGAUUAGAUACCCCCGUAGUCCCUGUCUCUUAUAC
rnacentral:rRNA from 1 species